GCGCCCCUAUCUCUGCCCACUCAACCGCCACGUGGCAGCCGAGUGAGGGCCUCGGGGUAACGC
rfam:Oryza nivara chromosome 6, whole genome shotgun sequence.